rnacentral:misc_RNA from 1 species
GAUGAAGAACGUAGCGAAAUGCGAUACGUAAUGUGAAUUGCAGAAUUCAGUGAAUCAUCGAAUCUUUGAACGCACAUUGCGCCUGCCAGCACUCUGGCAGGCAUGCCUGUUCGAGCGUCAUUUCAACCAUCAAGCCCCCAGGGGCUUGUGCUGGGGCCCUGCGGCUGCCCGCAGGCCCUGAAAACCAGUGGCGGGCUCGCUAGUCACACCGAGCGCAGUAGCACAUCUCGCUCAGGGCGUGCGGCGGGCUCCUGCCGUGAAACCCCCCACUGUAACCCCAAAGGUUGACCUCGGAUCAGGUAGGAAUACCCGCUGAACUUAAGCAUAUCAAUAAGCGGAGGA